GGUGCUUGCAUCAUGAUUUACAUUUGAGUGAGUGGCGAACUGGUGAGUAACACGUGGGAAACCUGCCCAGAAGCGGGGGAUAACACCUGGAAACAGAUGCUAAUACCGCAUAACAACUUGGACCGCAUGGUCCGAGUUUGAAAGAUGGCUUCGGCUAUCACUUUUGGAUGGUCCCGCGGCGUAUUAGCUAGAUGGUGGGGUAACGGCUCACCAUGGCAAUGAUACGUAGCCGACCUGAGAGGGUAAUCGGCCACAUUGGGACUGAGACACGGCCCAAACUCCUACGGGAGGCAGCAGUAGGGAAUCUUCCACAAUGGACGAAAGUCUGAUGGAGCAACGCCGCGUGAGUGAAGAAGGGUUUCGGCUCGUAAAACUCUGUUGUUAAAGAAGAACAUAUCUGAGAGUAACUGUUCAGGUAUUGACGGUAUUUAACCAGAAAGCCACGGCUAACUACGUGCCAGCAGCCGCGGUAAUACGUAGGUGGCAAGCGUUGUCCGGAUUUAUUGGGCGUAAAGCGAGCGCAGGCGGUUUUUUAAGUCUGAUGUGAAAGCCUUCGGCUCAACCGAAGAAGUGCAUCGGAAACUGGGAAACUUGAGUGCAGAAGAGGACAGUGGAACUCCAUGUGUAGCGGUGAAAUGCGUAGAUAUAUGGAAGAACACCAGUGGCGAAGGCGGCUGUCUGGUCUGUAACUGACGCUGAGGCUCGAAAGUAUGGGUAGCAAACAGGAUUAGAUACCCUGGUAGUCCAUACCGUAAACGAUGAAUGCUAAGUGUUGGAGGGUUUCCGCCCUUCAGUGCUGCAGCUAACGCAUUAAGCAUUCCGCCUGGGGAGUACGGCCGCAAGGCUGAAACUCAAAGGAAUUGACGGGGGCCCGCACAAGCGGUGGAGCAUGUGGUUUAAUUCGAAGCUACGCGAAGAACCUUACCAGGUCUUGACAUACUAUGCAAAUCUAAGAGAUUAGACGUUCCCUUCGGGGACAUGGAUACAGGUGGUGCAUGGUUGUCGUCAGCUCGUGUCGUGAGAUGUUGGGUUAAGUCCCGCAACGAGCGCAACCCUUAUUAUCAGUUGCCAGCAUUAAGUUGGGCACUCUGGUGAGACUGCCGGUGACAAACCGGAGGAAGGUGGGGAUGACGUCAAAUCAUCAUGCCCCUUAUGACCUGGGCUACACACGUGCUACAAUGGAUGGUACAACGAGUUGCGAACUCGCGAGAGUAAGCUAAUCUCUUAAAGCCAUUCUCAGUUCGGAUUGUAGGCUGCAACUCGCCUACAUGAAGUCGGAAUCGCUAGUAAUCGCGGAUCAGCAUGCCGCGGUGAAUACGUUCCCGGGCCUUGUACACACCGCCCGUCACACCAUGAGAGUUUGUAACACCCAAAGUCGGU
rnacentral:rRNA from 1 species